UACGUAGGGCGCGAGCGUUGUCCGGAAUUAUUGGGCGUAAAGAGCUCGUAGGCGGUCUGUCGCGUCGGAUGUGAAAGCCCGGGGCUUAACCCCGGGUCUGCAUUCGAUACGGGCAGACUAGAGUGUGGUAGGGGAGACUGGAAUUCCUGGUGUAGCGGUGAAAUGCGCAGAUAUCAGGAGGAACACCGGUGGCGAAGGCGGGUCUCUGGGCAACAACUGACGCUGAGGAGCGAAAGCGUGGGGAGCGAACAGG
rnacentral:rRNA from 1 species